UGUUUUUCACAGAAAGAAGCAAGUUGAUGUACAAUGUUAAGAACAAUGUUAAGAUUUGUUACAAUGUUAAGAACACAAACAAUCAGAAUGCUGUACAACGCAAAUACAGUUUUCACCCAAGCCUUUCAAAAAUGAAAAAUAUGAUGAGAAUUUUGUGCUACAAUGUCAACAGGAGACCUGUUGAUCAUCCAUGCUAGAAUUCCUACCAAUAGUGUGUGUACACAGUGUGUGAGGGAAAAGUGCAAUAUUUGUGAAGCAUUUCGUUUCAUUAUUUCGCAAUUGUAUUAAUAAUGGAGUAAUACAUAUUUUCUGUCUAGUCAAACUAUUUCUUUUGUAGAAAAUGUAAGGUCAAGUUGGGAAGCACAGUUCUUAUGAUCGGUAUUACUAAAAGCAGCACAAAACCAUACUCACUCACUCGCUCUUGUGAUCAGUACGCAGAUGAGUGGUGCUCAGAGUAGCAAUGAUAGCGACUAGCACUCAAGCUCUGUGUGUACUGAGCAGUUCAGGUAGCUCCCAAUGCGAUGAUUGAUUAAGUGCCACUGAUUGUGAUCUGCUGAAGUAACACAGGUGAUAAGUGCUUAAGUGGCACUGAAUGUGACAAGCACUUUGUAGUACUGGCUGUGACAUAAGUUCUUUAAGUAUCACUUAUUGUGACUUAUUGUGCUUUAAGUGGUCUAGUGACCAGAGCUUUAUAUACCACUGCUUGCAACCAUUUCGUCUGGUAAUAAAUCCUCAAGAGCUGCUCUGAUUAAGAUUGCAAUAAAUAAGUCAUGGUCUAUCUUUUGCUGUGAUGUGCAGGUGAGAACUAGACAUUGCUGCUACAGAUAUUAGUUUACAUGUUCAAACAAUAAUCUUGCUACCUUUUGUCACAAGGGUCAGGCAUGUUGUGAUGGCUUUGAUGAGACAUUGAU